ACAAAAUGUACGGCCUAACGGCUAAGAUCAAAGUGUAGUAUCUGUUCUUAUUAGUUUAACACCUAAUAGUUCCCUCAUACACCGAGAAAAAUGUGGAUGGUAAAAUUUACCAUCCUCC